rnacentral:rRNA from 1 species
UUGAUCCUGGCUCAGAAUCAACGCUGGCGGCGUGCCUAACACAUGCAAGUCGAACGAGAAAGUGGAGCAAUCCAUGAGUAAAGUGGCGACCGGGUGAGUUACACGUGACUAACCUACCUUCGAGUGGGGGAUAACAUCGGGAAACCGAUUCUAAUACCGCAUAACAUCGCAAGAUCAAAGCAGCAAUGCGCUUGAAGAGUGGGUCGCGGCUGAUUAGCUAGUUGGUAGGGUAAUGGCCUACCAAGGCUUUGAUCGGUAGCCGGCCUGAGAGGGCGCACGGCCACACUGGAACUGAAACAUGGUCCAGACUCCUACGGGAGGCAGCAGUGGGGAAUUUUGCGCAAUGGGGUAAACCCUGACGCAGCAACGCCGCGUGGAGGAUGAAGUCCCUUGGGACGUUAACUCCUUUCGACCGGGAAGAUACUGACGGUACCGGAAGAAGAAGCACCUGCUAACUCUGUGCCAGCAGCCGCGGUAAUU